rnacentral:rRNA from 1 species
UACGUAGGUGGCAAGCGUUGUUCGGAAUAAUUGGGCGUAAAGGAUGCGUAGGCGGUUAAACAAGUUAUAUGUUAAAUAUAUAGGCUUAACCUGUAGAAAGCAUAUAAAACUGUUUAACUAGAGUGCAGGAGAGGUAAGUGGAAUUCCUAGUGUAGCGGUGAAAUGCGUAGAUAUUAGGAGGAACACCAGUGGCGAAGGCGGCUUACUGGACUGUAACUGACGUUGAGGCUCGAAAGCGUGGGGAGCAAACAGG